CCCUAUCAUUAGUUGCCAUCAGGUCAAGCUGGGGACUCUAAUGAAACUGCCUACGCAAGUAGUGAGGAAGGUGGGGAUGACGUCAAAUCAGCACGGCCCUUACGUCCAGGGCUACACACGUGCUACAAUGGCCGGUACAAAGGGUUGCGAAGCCGUGAGGUGGAGCGAAUCUCAAAAAGCCGGCCUCAGUUCGGAUUGGAGGCUGCAACUCGCCUCCAUGAAGUCGGAAUCGCUAGUAACCGCAGAUCAGCUACGUUGCGGUGAAUACGUUCCCGGGCCUU
rnacentral:rRNA from 1 species